UACGAAGGGUGCAAACGUUGCUCGGAAUUAUUGGGCGUAAAGAGCUCGUAGGCGGUUUGUCGCGUCUGCCGUGAAAGUCCGGGGCUCAACUCCGGAUCUGCGGUGGGUACGGGCAGACUGGAGUACUGCAGGGGGAGACUGGAAUUCCUGGUGUAGCGGUGGAAUGCGCAGAUAUCAGGAGGAACACCGGUGGCGAAGGCGGGUCUCUGGGCAGUAACUGACGCUGAGGAGCGAAAGCGUGGGGAGCGAACAGGA
rnacentral:rRNA from 1 species